rnacentral:rRNA from 1 species
AGAGUUUGAUCCUGGCUCAGGAUGAACGCUGGCGGCGUGCUUAACACAUGCAAGUCGAACGAACCUUCGGGUUAGUGGCGGACGGGUGAGUAACGCGUGGGAAUCUGCCCUCAGGAGGGGGAUAACGGCUGGAAACGGCCGCUAAUACCCCAUAUGCCGAGGGUGAAAAGAAAUUCGCCUGAGGAUGAGCCCGCGUCUGAUUAGCUAGUUGGUGGGGUAAGAGCUCACCAAGGCGACGAUCAGUAGCUGGUCUGAGAGGAUGAUCAGCCACACUGGGACUGAGACACGGCCCAGACUCCUACGGGAGGCAGCAGUGGGGAAUUUUCCGCAAUGGGCGAAAGCCUGACGGAGCAACGCCGCGUGAGGGAUGAAGGCCUCUGGGCUGUAAACCUCUUUUCUCAAGGAAGAAGACAUGACGGUACUUGAGGAAUAAGCCACGGCUAAUUCCGUGCCAGCAGCCGCGGUAAUACGGGAGUGGCAAGCGUUAUCCGGAAUUAUUGGGCGUAAAGCGUCCGCAGGCGGCCCUGUAAGUCUGUCGUUAAAGCGUGGAGCUUAACUCCAUUUAAGCGAUGGAAACUACAGGGCUUGAGUGUGGUAGGGGCAGAGGGAAUUCCCGGUGUAGCGGUGAAAUGCGUAGAUAUCGGGAAGAACACCAGUGGCGAAGGCGCUCUGCUGGGCCAUAACUGACGCUCAUGGACGAAAGCCAGGGGAGCGAAAGGGAUUAGAUACCCCUGUAGUCCUGGCCGUAAACGAUGAACACUAGGUGUCGGGGGAAUCGACCCCCUCGGUGUCGUAGCCAACGCGUUAAGUGUUCCGCCUGGGGAGUACGCACGCAAGUGUGAAACUCAAAGAAUUGACGGGGGCCCGCACAAGCGGUGGAGUAUGUGGUUUAAUUCGAUGCAACGCGAAGAACCUUACCAGGGUUUGACAUCCUGCGAAUCCCUUGGAAACGAGGGAGUGCCUUCGGGAGCGCAGAGACAGGUGGUGCAUGGCUGUCGUCAGCUCGUGUCGUGAGAUGUUGGGUUAAGUCCCGCAACGAGCGCAACCCACGUCUUUAGUUGCCAGCAUUCAGUUGGGCACUCUAGAGAGACCGCCGGUGAUAAACCGGAGGAAGGUGUGGAUGACGUCAAGUCAUCACCCCCCUUACAUCCUGGGCUACACACGUACUACAAUGCUACGGACAAAGGGCAGCAAGCUCGCGAGAGUUAGCAAAUCCCAUAAACCGUGGCUCAGUUCAGAUCGUAGGCUGCAACUCGCCUACGUGAAGGAGGAAUCGCUAGUAAUCGCAGGUCAGCAUACUGCGGUGAAUACGUUCCCGGGCCUUGUACACACCGCCCGUCACACCAUGGAAGUUGGCCAUGCCCGAAGUCGUUACUCCAACCC